AUGAUGAUUUUGCUUCAUUAUGGUUAGAAUCUGAAUGAUUACAUGUAGAUUCUUUCUAGGGCGGUCUGAGGUA